rnacentral:tRNA from 1 species
UCCCCGGUGGCUGAGUGGUAAAGAAUCUGCCUGCCAAUGCAGGAGACAUGGGUUCAAUCCCUGAUCUGGGAA